GGGCAGCGGCAGCCGCAGGUCCGCCGCCCGCCGGAACGGCCUGGCGCUGCCCGCGGGGGACGAGCCGGGGACCGCCCCGCGCCGCCGGUCCCGGGCCGGGCUGAGCGCGGCGCUCGGAGCGAGGCACCGCCGCCCUCGGGACGGGCGCGCCGCUGUCAGCCCCGGGGCCGGAGACAAAGACCGGAGCCCGGCCCCGCGCGGGGGUGUCGCGGGGCUCCCGGGGCCGCGCUCCGCUCCGCCGCGGCCGGGGCGGCCCCGCGCUCGUCUGCGCCGCGCCGCACGCACCGGCCCGGCCGGGUCACCGCAGCGGGAUGGUCCCGGCGCUGCCCCGCGGCGUCCCCCGGCCCCGCACGCCGGCUCCUUCCCCGCUCGCUCCGUUCCCCCCGGGGGUCUGUGGUGGCGGCAGCGCUCCGCCGGCACUGGGGGCAAACGGGAUGCGCGGUCCCGGUGGUUUCUCACGCGGUGCCACGCGUGGGCCGUGUUUCUCGUGGUGCCAGGUGUGCGCUCCGUGUCUGCCCGUCGGUGCCACGCCUGUGUGCCGUGCCAGUAUGCGGCAGUGGCGCGCUCCUGCCCCGUGCCAGCAGAAGUACGGCUGAGCAGAGGAAGCGGGAGUAGGAUCUGAGCCUGGAGAAGGGAGCCGACGCGGGCGCGGAGGCGCAGGCGGGGGCACUCGGCUGCCUGCUGCCCUCACCCCACUCCCCGCACCCGUCCGACGCGUCCCCGAGGUGACAGUUGGGUUUGGCACGCUGGAGGCGGUGCGGUGACAGCAAGGUGCUGUCUGUCACACGGAAGCGCUGAAAUUAAUGGUUGAAAUUUGACGUUGUGAAUCGCAUCGAGCCUUUCUACCCCAUUAGGUGUCCGGUCGGCUCUCAGCCGUUUCCCAGUGCCACCAUCCAGGUUGUGCAGAGCCCGGUGGGACAUUGAUGGAGUGGGACGGGGGGGGGUGCAGGACGUCCCGGUUUGGGAUUUUCUACCCAAAGGCACAUAGCAUGGGGUGCCUGGUGGAACUCGCUCACACACUGCAGUAUUUUUGCUGACCACUAAAAAUAAGAUGGACAUCCUUUCAAGCCUCGGUCAGCCGUGGAAGCACGGCUUUCUCGGGGGACAGCUGCAAGGAGCAGUUGGGGAGGGGUGGAAAUGGUAGAAAAGAGAAAAACGCUCUGCAUGGUUGGCAUCCGUGGCCAACUUUAUUGCAAAGGCAGGGUCAGGCUCAGCGCAUGGGCGUCCUGUGGGCACGGCUCAGGGCAGGGACCGUUUCCAGUUCUAUUUUCCCCAGUGAUGAAUUGACACCCUCCUGGCCAUGGGAGGUGCUGCGCAGCGUUGGCUCCAGCAGCUCAGGAUGGGGCGGUGUGUGGGGAGGGCUGUGCCAUGCGGGAGCAGGAAGGAGUGCGUUGGAGGCACUGCCCGUGGGAGGACCCGAGAACCGCCAAACCCUGUGUGGAGUUCUGGGAGGACCCCUCACAGAUGGGCCCAGCGCUCAGCUCACUGCUUUGGGUCCCAAUCCAGCGUGGAUCCAACAAGGCAUGGGUAAUCUCAUGACAUGCCAGAUCGUAACGCAUGAAAUUGAGGCCACUCUUGUCCUUAAAAAUAGAAAAGGGGAAAAGAAAAAAAAAAAAAAAGCAAAGAAAAAAGAAAGCAUGUUUGGUGGUGCUGGCAUUCAGGCUCUCAGUUCUGGAUGACAGACACCGUUGUUGAGCACAUGGGAUCUGCUGAGGGCUCCUUUGCAGACAAACACGUGAUAACACCCGGUCCGGGGCUGCUCACGCACUGAAAGUUGUCCUCACUCACUGCCAAUUAAUAUGAACCGGGCAUCGCUUCUCUUUGUAAAGCUUUGCCAUGCAGGGUACCCCAGGCUGUGGGCUGUCGUGUUGGUUUAUGAUCAUUCUCUCACCAGGAGAGACAUAGAAAUGAGGGAAUCGGGAAUUAGCGGUUGUAACACCCAGAAAAUACUCUGCUGGAAACAUGAAGGGGGUUUGGCUGAGAUGGGAGAAGAGCGAGGGUCCCCGUUUGGAGGAGGAACACAGGAAAGUGCAGACUUCAGGAAAAGAAAAGGAGAGAUAAACACGUGUGCUGCAGGGGAUAAGCCUGAAACCGACUGUCAGGAGCCAGAAAGAUGCUUCCUUUGUGGCUAUUUCAUUCCUCACCGUGGCACUCCGGCCUUCCUUUGAAGUGCUGAUGUUUAUCAGGGCCGGGGCGGCACAGCACUGUGCAUGGAUGGAUCCAACCCGGCGAUAUCCCAUUGCUUCCCGCGCUCCCCUCUGCUCCGACCCCACAGCCGCCCUCCAUACCCGGCCCCGAUCCAUGCAGCGCCGGCCAGGUGGGCACCGUGAUGUUUUGGAACAAAUAAUCACAGGGGGAUUAGUUGUGUUUUGAAACAAAUGUCACAACCUUAGCGGUAUCCUGGGCAACUGGGCAGCUCCCUUCGUGGGAGCCACAAAGCAGAGGUGGAGGCGGAGAGGGAGAGCUUUGUGGACCAUCAGGAAACGGACACGGGAAGGGAAGAGAAGCGAACUGCAACACUGCAUUGGACAGCUAGGAAGGAACCGGUGGUGGAAAUCCAUGCUUGGCUUUGGAAGGUGCUAACGAAGCAUGGCAGCAGCUCCCUGGGAUCACCCCUGGGACAUCCCGCCGGGCAGCACUGCUGGUCCACUCCUCGCACAGCAGCUCUCAUUCUCCAGUAGUGCCAACUCCGGGGUUUUUCCAAGUAGAAACUAUUCCUGACUUUAAUCAAAACCUAAUUUAGAUCCAGGUCAGAUAAUAAGUCGAAACAGCUAAGGGUAGUCCGCAAAGAGCGCAGAUUCCUUCUGGAGCCCAUUGGAUUUCUGUCCAGUCACAGCACCAAAACAUUAUUUGGUGUCUCCUGCCUGGGACUGAGGCGAGCUGAGGAGUGGGAGCUACAGACUGAAUUGGGAUUUGUGGGAAUAACAGGCGUUGCUCCCACCUUCUGACUCCAGCUUCAGAGCUCUGGGAAUCAGACCGUGUGAGUGCUCAGUUGAUGUGCUUGGGGGAAAAAAAGAGGUAGGAGAAAAAAAGGGAAGGGGGAAAAAAAAGCAGAAGGAGUGCAGCAGUUUCAGGUAGGACUGAGAGACCCCCCAGGUGCCGGGGCAGAGCAGGCAGGGGCUGCAGCUCGGGGCUGCGUUACGUCCCAGCACUGUGCGAGGACAUCAGUUGGCACCUGCCUGCACUCUGCAUACAGCACUCAGGGUCAGCACGUUUGCUGCUCUCCUCUUUGUCCUUCAGGAGGAGGAAGAAAACCCUCAGCCAGGAGGGGAUGCCCGGGAGAGGCUGCACGGACGUGGUGUGAGCAGAGCUGGAGGGGACAGGUGCAGGGAGUUCUCGUCGUCUGUGUGGCAGGGAAAUGAUGUACAUUGAGAACAGUUGUGUGGUUUGGGAAGUGAAACGGUGUUCCCCUGAGCUCAGAGCAGUGCAGGGAUGUGGGUUCUUCCCACCCGGCCCAGAGGAGCGGCUCUCCUUCCCUUUAGGUGUCAUUCAUUCCUCCAUAGGCGCGUCUGCGUGGGCUGUCCUCCCCCGUCCCCAUUGUCCUCCUCUGAAAUCCGCACUGUGGGUGCACUCCGGCAGCAGCUGCAGCUGCAGACAUCUGGAGGGGCUUUGCCUGCAGUGCUCCGAGGUCAGGGCGCCGUGGGACAGCAGGGCACUACCUGCCAGCCUUGUUCCAGCCCGCCUCUAUCCCACCUCCUCUCACCUAAACGCCCAGACAAAGCUGUUAACUGCCAGAAGAUGGUCCUUAUUGUGGCCCUGCCCAUCUGGGGGGGCUCACUGCAGUGUGAGCAGCACAUCCUGCAGGGCUGGGUGCUGGGAGAGCCCCGCGGGAUGGGAUGCUGCUCCUUCCUCCCAGCUCCAACAAGGCAGCAGCUGAGUGGGCACCGAGGCGAUUAUUAUUUUCUUCUUUGUAAGGGUGGACGUUUAGGGUUUUUUUUUGCCUGAUUUCCUGGUAUUUUCCCAGGGGUUCCAAAGGUCACCCCGGUCCCCGGAUAAUGUGGAUUCUGUGUCACGCUGGGCCUCAACGGGUUAAUUUUUGUGCUUCUCUCCCCAGCUCGCUGCGGACUCUGGCUGGGACAGAACAUCUGUCUGUUGCUAUGGCUGCAGUACACUUGAAGGGGAUGACUGGAUAAUUAUUGCAAACAUCCAUCCUGCCUGAUGUGCUCCCGGACCUCGCUGGCCCGAGCGAGGGGCAGCGGCCGGCAGCUCCGGAGCCGGCCUUGGCCACAGGGACCCUACCUAGGGACGGCGCCUUGGCAACACCUUUUCAUUUGCAUAAUUAAUGAGGCCGAGGCUGCAGGGCUCCUGGGAAAUCCGACGCAGAGCAGCAGCGAUGAAAUGGCACGGAGGGCUUGAGCCUGCUCGGCGGCUCAGAGCUCUGCUCCCCGCUCUGGGGCUGGCAGGGGGAUGUUCUCCCGUUCCCGUUCAUUUACCGCCCACUUCUAUGGGAACAGAUUGCUCCGGGCCCGAUCCUGCGCACACCUCCUGCAGGCUGGGUGCAAACCCACUGCCUGCAGCACCGCUGUGCCUGCCAGGCCCGGCCCUAUGCCUCGUGGGUUGUCCCUUUUCUCAGCCUAUUCCCACAUCUGAAAUAACACAGCAAGAAAUGACACCGAGGUUCCCCGUCUGACUCGGUGCCGCUGCGCUCUUUGCCCAGCCGCACAACUUCAAUGUGUCCAUUGUAUGGUUCCUUUCUGUUUAUCAACAAGUGGAGGGACAGUGAGUCACGGGGGGAGAGCUGGGGCUGGGAUGAGCAUGGCCGUCCUCACCCGGGGCAGCAUCGCAGCAGGGACCCUCUGUGGGGCUCCCUGGGAGCCAGGCUGUGCAGGACAGGGCAGCCCUGCUCACCCCAAUGCCUGCGACGUUGGCAAUACGCAAUCACAGGGUGCCAACAAAUCAGAACAGAACACAACAGAACUCGGGUCUGCUUCAUGCCCACAGGUGGAAUCACUGCAGGACGCUCCCCAGGGCCGAUGCCUUGCUGGGAGCUGGGGCAGAUCUGUGAGCCCCUGCACGGCCCCCUCUGGUGGGAGGGCGAUGGGGAGGGCCGCAUGCUGCUCCUGGCCCUGCCUGAUCGCUAUCACCCCAGCAGUUUUGUGUAUGAUUCAAUAAACUCCUUUGCUUGCACAACUUA